rnacentral:rRNA from 1 species
AACGAACGCUGGCGGCGUGCUUAACACAUGCAAGUCGAACGCGAAAGGGACUUCGGUCCUGAGUAAAGUGGCGCACGGGUGAGUAACGCGUAGAUAACCUGUCUUCAUGUCUGGAAUAAUACGCCGAAAGGGGUACUAAUACCGGAUAUUCUUGCUUUUCAUAAGUUAUGCAAGCAAAGGUGGCCUCUGCAUAUGCUACUGCAUGAAGAGGGGUCUGCGUACCAUUAGCUAGUAGGUGGGGUAAUGGCCUACCUAGGCGACGAUGGUUAGCGGGUCUGAGAGGAUGAUCCGCCACACUGGCACUGGAACACGGGCCAGACUCCUACGGGAGGCAGCAGUGAGGAAUAUUGCGCAAUGGGGGAAACCCUGACGCAGCGACGCCGCGUGAGUGAGGAAAGGCCUUCGGGUCGUAAAGCUCUGUCAAGAGGAAAGAAGUGUACAAUGGCUAAUACCUGACAUGUUUGACGGUACCCUUAAAGGAAGCACCGGCUAACUCCGUGCCAGCAGCUGC